rnacentral:rRNA from 1 species
CCUACGGGUGGCAGCAGUGGGGAAUAUUGGUCAAUGGCGGCAACUCUGACCCAGCAACGCCGCGUGAAUGAUGAAGGUCUUCGGAUUGUAAAGUUCCUUGAUUGGGGAUGCACACUAUGACGGUACCACAAUAGCAAGCCACGGCUAAAUACGGGCCAGCAGCCGCUGUAAUACGUAGGUGGCAAUGCUUCUCCGGAAUGACUGGGGGUAAAGGGGGCGUGGGUUGUUCAGUAAGUUGGCGGUGUAAUUCCGGGGCUCGAACCCGGCGGUACCGCUAAAACUAUUAGUCUAGAGUGCAGGAGGGGUAUGUGGAAUGCCCAGUGUAGCGGUGGAAUGCGUAGAUAUUAGGAAGAACACCAGGGGCGAAGGCGACUUACUGGACUGUAACUGACACUGAGGCACGAAAGCGUGGGUAGCAAACAGGAUUAGAUACCCUAGUAGUC